GACGGAACACGCUGUUCAUACAGCUCUGUGUGGAGCAGGUGGGGAAGCUGUCCUGCUGUACCUACCGAAAGGAGCCAGAGAGAUUCCACAUCUCAGGUCAACCAUACCAGGACAGCCAUUUCUGCAGUCCUUGACAACCUCUACUACAGAAAUAAAACGGGACCAGAGUCAAGCUGUACCUGCUGAAAACUGCCUUGCUCUCCCAUGGAUUCAUAAGAAGGAAAAGGAGGGUAGCCUCCAGUGAAAUGGAAGGACUGAAGAAUGACUGGAGAUUUAUCUCAUACCAGCCUGACUUCUACAUUGCAGGUCAAAUGAAGACUACUGUGUAUUAUUGCCUUUAAAAUAAAAAU